rnacentral:lncRNA from 1 species
UUAAUAGAGGAUUAAAUUGAAAAUAAUUUUGGGGAAAAGGGUGAAAUUUGGGUUCUGGGGGUAUUUUUGAAAGAAAAAUCAGAAAUCAAGGGUCAAAAUAAAAUUUAGAAAAGUUUUACCACGUAGGAUGCUCAGUCAGUAGCCCCGACGAACCAAAGCGCGGUGCGUGGCAGCGAACGCUGACGCAUUACCACGGGGGUGAUCCACGUGCCCGUGAUCAGAUGGCUCAGAUCCGUUCUUGCGCGCACGAACGAUCUAGAUGCAUUCCCUCCCCAAA